AUCCAUGCCUCCAUGGGGGCUGCCGCCUGUGGCUGUCUCCCUUCCUAGGCAUGGAAGAGCAGUUCCUUGCUAAUUGGCAAAACUUUUACCCUCUUUUGUGGGUAUUAGUCGUUGACUGUAGCAAGUAACAGGC
rnacentral:snoRNA from 1 species